GUUUGAGCAUGCGCAGUAGCCAACUUUCGGCAAAAACGCUGUUCCAGUCGAUCUAAGAUCCUGACCUCAAAGAGACAGAGCGAUGGGAUUUUGACCAAAUUGUGGAAGCACAUUUUCCUUUAAUGGACCAAUAAGCGUUUCAAGGUUUCCAUCAGGAGGAGAGACGGGAAGGAGACACCAGGGAGUGUUUUUCCAAUUAGCAGCACAAAGAGGAAGUGGGAAAGCACCAAAAGGAUAUAGACCAAUUAAUGAUGCAGCCUACCUCAGUUACUGGACACAAUUGGAUGGAUAACAACUGAACUGUGAUGAGGCCUGGGAGUGCUGAUUGUCACCGAUGAAGCUGCGCCCGUCUCUCUAAAUCGUCUUCACCUUUGUCCAGUGUCUUCUGAUAUCAUUAUUGAGGGGGGUAUUUUAAUGGACUCAAGAAGCCAGCUGCUUGGGCUGCUUGACACUUGGACCACCAUAAAGCCACGAAGAACACAGUCAGCUUCAUUCGGGGACUAAUGCUUGGCUUGGGUCAGAAAACAACAGAUUUCUAAGUAAUCUGCAAACUUUUAGAAUUCAAAGGUUUGAGAGUUACAUUGUAACUAAUCUUGAAAUGUUUUUAAGGCAGCGCAUGUUAAACUAAAUUGCGCUUGUGACUUUUUAUAUGUAAAUAAUAAAUAAAUAUGUAAAUAAUGCCAGCUGUUUUCAGUCCAAUGGGCUUCAGCUAUAAAUUGUGCUGCCCAAAAAUAUUUUCAAGGCAAUCCGUCUGCGUGCUUAUUUUUUUUCUAAAAUUAACUGGCCAGUUUAUUACUGAUGUAUAAAUGAUCCCAUAGUAUGAAUGCAAGAUUUAGCUGUGGCUAAGUUUAAAUUUAGUAACAGCUGGUGUAGCCAGUGUUUGAUUAAAUUUGGCAAAGCGAGGACAAAUGGGUUUGUGAAGCGUUUUCAAAGAUACCUUAUCUUUAAAUAAGGUGUCUUUUCCAAACGCCUAUUAUAAAAACAUUUCAGAAGAGCGCCUAAGGAGAGGUGUGUAUUUGUGCUCAAGUCUCUUCUGUGUGGCAAAGUGAGAGAGUGUGUGUCAGCGAGGGGAAAGGGAAAUAUUGUUUGUGUUUUUUUAUUUUGUUUAUAUCUCGCUGUAUUUUUAUGUCCUACACUUGAGCUUUGCGAGCAGCAGAGAGGGUAAAAAAGAGGGAGAGAAAGAGAGUAUUCUCAAUUUCCUUCUAAAAAGAAAAUUCAUUUGCAGUUGCUAAUGUAAUGUCAUCGUUGUGUUUACUGAGCGUGGAUGAUGUAUAGGGGAUGUUGCAUUGAGUGAGACUGCUUAAUGAUGCAUAGAAUUAAGUCUGUGGCUUUCAGCUGAGCUCCUCUCUCUCUCUCUCUCUCUCCCUCUCUCUCUCGCUCUCUCUCUCUCUCUCUUCCUCUCUCUCAGACACUCCUCUCCCUCUUCCCCCCUCCCUCCCCUUCUCUCACACACUCUCUGCUCGCUUCCUCUUUCCUUCCCUUCCUUUCACCUCUCUUUUCAUUUAAUCCCCACCCUCCUCCUCCUCCUCCUCCUCACCACCACACCAGCCUCUCUCUUUCCCUCUGAUGCAGGCUGUCUUGGACUGUUGGCCACACGUUGCUCUGUGUACUGUUGCCUAACUCCAUCAAUCACUGCGAAGGGAGGGAAAGAGAGUGUGGAGGGAGGGCGAUAAAAAGAAUAAAAAUAAGAUAUGGCUGGAAAAAAAUGAGCGAGAUGAAAACAGACAUUGGGCAUAGACAUUGUACCGGAUCAGCUUUAGAAACCUGGAGGGGAAGUGAGUAAACGAGUGGGAAGAACACAUCUAUACAUUUAAUGAUCCACUGAGAACACUGCCAGUCCAAAUAACUGCCUGAAAACUGUGAGAAUAUAUGGAUGUAAUUGCGUUAUUUCUGGCUCUCCCUGUGAUGGUCCUCUGCUGGGAUCUGGGGCAAUAAAG